rnacentral:rRNA from 1 species
GAUGAACGCUGGCGGCGUGCCUAAUACAUGCAAGUCGAGCGAACGGACGAGAAGCUUGCUUCUCUGUUGUUAGCGGCGGACGGGUGAGUAACACGUGGAUAACCUACCUAUAAGACUGGGAUAACUUCGGGAAACCGGAGCUAAUACCGGAUAAUAUUUUGAACCGCAUGGUUCAAAAGUGAAAGACGGUCUUGCUGUCACUUAUAGAUGGAUCCGCGCUGCAUUAGCUAGUUGGUAAGGUAACGGCUUACCAAGGCAACGAUGCAUAGCCGACCUGAGAGGGUGAUCGGCCACACUGGAACUGAGACACGGUCCAGACUCCUACGGGAGGCAGCAGUAGGGAAUCUUCCGCAGUGGGCGAAAGCCUGACGGAGCAACGCCGCGUGAGUGAUGAAGGUCUUCGGAUCGUAAAACUCUGUUAUUAGGGAAGAACAUAUGUGUAAGUAACUGUGCACAUCUUGACGGUACCUAAUCAGAAAGCCACGGCUAACUACGUG